CGAGCUGGAAGGCGGGAAGCUGU
rnacentral:piRNA from 1 species